AUCAAACAAGAAAGCAAGAAAGCAAAGGGCCUCAACCCCAUUUCAGGUCUGGAUCCAGAUCUAAUGACGGAGGAGACCCCCGACGACACGGCCACGAGGUUCCGGUUUUGCUUGGUCAAUGGAGAAGAGACCUUGCCAUUUCGGUGCAAGGCUGAGCAAAGGGGUCAGGCCUCGGGACGAGGCGCAGGCGGUGCGCCCGAGGAGGAGCGGCGCACAUGGGAGCUAGGGUUUCUGCCUUCCUCUUUUUGCUGAAGCUAUGGGCUGUUGUAAUUUUGGGCUAUCUACUUUGGGCUUGGGUUUUAGGUUUUUGGGCCUAUUGGGCCGUUGUAAAAAUGGACUGUUUAUUAUCUUUAUUUUGGUUUCUGGUUUAUGGGCCCCGGGCUAAAUUGGGCCUCUACAGUGGCAUUCAAAAAUUCAACUUGUAAGGGA